UGGGGAAUCUUGCGCAAUGGACGAAAGUCUGACGCAGCGACGCCGCGUGGGUGAUGAAGGCCUUCGGGUUGUAAAGCCCUGUGGGGAGAGACGAAUAAGCGCUGGCUAAUACCUUGCGUGAUGACGGUAUCUCCUUAGCAAGCACCGGCUAACUCUGUGCCAGCAGCCGCGGUAAGACAGAGGGUGCAAACGUUGUUCGGAAUUACUGGGCGUAAAGCGUGUGUAGGCGGUUAUGUAAGUCGGAUGUGAA
rnacentral:rRNA from 1 species